AUUCAGCUGAUGAGUCCCAAAUAGGAUGAAACGUGCAUCCUGGAU
rnacentral:hammerhead_ribozyme from 1 species